AUUGAACGCUGGCGGCAGGCCUAACACAUGCAAGUCGAGCGGAGCGGCGGACGGGUGCGUAAUGCCUAGGAAUCUGCCUGGUCUUGGGGGUAAACGUCAGGAAACGGGCGAUAAUACCGCUAACUAUCAGACGAUCCAAGGUCGGAUUAGCUUGGUGGGUGGGUAAAGGACCACCAAGGCCACGAUCCGUAACUGUUCGGAGAGGAUAAUCAGUCACACUGGAACUGAGACACGGUCCAGACUCCUACGGGAGGCAGCAGUGGAGAAUAGUGGACAAGGGGCGAAAGCCUAGUCUAGCCAUGCCGCGUAGGGGAAAAAGGUCUUCGGAUUGGAAUGCUCUUUAAGUUGUAAAGCGUUACCAACAGAAUAAGCACCGGCUAACUCCGUGCCAGCAGCCGCGGUAAUUC
rnacentral:rRNA from 1 species